AGCGAACGCUGGCGGCAGGCCUAACACAUGCAAGUCGAACGGAUCCUUCGGGAUCAGUGGCGGACGGGUGAGUAACACGUGGGAACGUGCCCUUUGGUUCGGAACAACUCAGGGAAACUUGAGCUAAUACCGGAUGUGCCCUUCGUGGGAAAGAUUUAUCGCCAUUGGAGCGGCCCGCGUCUGAUUAGCUAGUUGGUGAGGUAAAGGCUCACCAAGGCGACGAUCAGUAGCUGGUCUGAGAGGAUGAUCAGCCACAUUGGGACGGAGACACGGCCCAAACUCCUACGGGAGGCAGCAGUGGGGAAUCUUGCGCAAUGGGCGAAAGCCUGACGCAGCCAUGCCGCGUGAAUGAUGAAGGUCUUAGGAUUGUAAAAUUCUUUCACCGGGGACGAUAAUGACGGUACCCGGAGAAGAAGCCCCGGCUAACUUCGUGCCAGCCGCCGCCGUAA
rnacentral:rRNA from 1 species